rnacentral:misc_RNA from 1 species
GGAUCAUCUUCCUCCAAUUCGGCCUUUCUUCUACAGUCUCCUAAUAUAGAAUAAGUAACCUUACCUAUACUUGGAUCCCCUUUACUGAAAGUUCUAGAAGCUGAAGGCAAAAGAGCAGAUGUGGUAUAAUGUGGAGGGAGAAUCCAAGUAAUUGGUGAUCCCAGAGCAAGUGGAAGCUCAGACACUACUGACAAGGAAAUAGAUGCAGUAUAUGAUCUUGACUCUGAAAAAGAUUUGUAAGCAACAAAAUCACAGGAGAAAGAAACUGUAACAUCCGUCUGCCCUGCAGAUCUUCCAUGCAAUACUUGAAUAAAACCAAGGUCAUUGUCACCCACAUAUCCUGUCAGUCCAUUGCCUU